rnacentral:rRNA from 1 species
AUGGCCAGAUCCGCCGAGCCAGUGGCUGGAUCUCGAUCUUCUAGUCCUUCCCGCCUUCUCCUUCGUCGACGGCAGGCAGCAGAAAUGUGCAAGGCGCGCGCGACUGCUCCGGCCAGAGGAAGGCGCGAGGUACGACGCGACAGCGCGUGGUCGAGCCAGGCACGACACGGGCGGGCACCACCACACCGGGGCGUGACUACGGCAGCCAACAUCGGCGCCCAAAUCGCAUCCACCGAACCCAGGCGCGGGAUUCGGUGGGCGUGCGGUUUUGUGUUCAACAGGAGAGCGCACGCGAGAAAGAGCGCUGCUCGGGACGACCUACUCCUUCGUUGGCGUUUGGCAGCAGGUCGACAUCAUGGGCAACUACCAGGCCACCAGGGCAACCGCACCACGCCCUCCUACGUCGCCUUCACCGACACCAAGCGCGUCACCAGCAACGCCGCCAAGAACCAGGUUCGCCGCGGUUGA